GACUUCUUCAUGGCCGGUCCCUCCAGCCAGCUGUUGUCCAAGCAAUUGUAGAUAAGCACCCAAUCCACGCUAUACCAGACAAACUCAUCCCGGAAAUAGCCGCCUGUCACAAAAAGGAAGCUUCCUGGAAAGACAGCAGAGAACGUUAUCAGUUAUAUGAAGGCUGAAACUUGUUCUUGAGAAGCAGAGGUCUCGUUUCUCCCAGUGCUGAACCAAUGAGGUUCAAGACAAGCAGAGAAAAUGACUGCUCUUUGCAUCAGUUUGCAGUAUUUGAUUCUCAUCAGCACAGACAUGCAGAGCCUACAGGAUGCAGGAACUCCAAGUUUACUCCUGCUUUUGAACAGAAUCAAGGAAACACUGGCUGGAAAAAACCUCUGGGGAUCUCCUGUCUGAACUCCCGUGUGAAAUGGGACCAUCACUAACACAAAUAAGGGAAGCCAUGGCUUUCAUCAGUCUUGAAAGUCUCCAAGCAUGAAGAUUUCACAGCAUCCACGGAUGCUCAACUCCUCAUUGUAACCCAGAAGUCUGCACUGCAGAAGAAGACAGCCGUGUAUCUCACAAUGAAGACCGAGCAACCUACUAACUGGGCUGGAAAUGCUGGAAACACUCCCUUCUCCAGAGCUUAUGCACUUGGUGCAGGACUUCAGGCAGAUCUCUCUGUACCACCUGCAUCCAGAGCGUGGAAUUCACGAGAGAGCUUCAACAGUUCUGCUUCUGACACUAAACUCUGACAAGACAGCACAGAGACGGAGCAGCGUGUUAUUGCUACGAACAACCACCACUCCCUCUCCCACUCAAGGGACAGUUGGGACUACUCUGGCUGAUGGCGAGCAAAUUCUGCUCGAAACACUCCAAGUAAGGAGUCUCUUUUGAAUUAUGAAACUGCUCGAAGAACAAGUUUUGUAGUGUUAGAAAGAAAUCGUGUUGCAAGGGGCACAACUCCACAGACAGCUCGGUGAGGCGCUUCAAGAAUGAGCCUCUAGGAGAUUAAAAUCCAGAGCACUUUAGUUUACCCGGGCAACGUGCCACACAAGACAGCUGGUCCCUAGUUUCAUAGUUCCCUGGAAAAGUCAGAUACACUGAACUGGAAUUUAUUUACUUCAAGUUCCCCUCUGUGUCAGAGCAGACCCAGGAAAGACUUCGCAUGGGAGUACAGUGCUGCUGCCAAAACGAGCAGCCAAUGCUGCUCUGUCCUUGCCACCUUUUCCUGCAAACCUCUAGGAACAAGACUGCUGCUGCCACCAAACCAAUUUGCUCUGCCACAGCCUCCCCCUAAAGGGAAAUCAAGUGGCAGAAGCAGGUUGCACACAGCCCAUGGGCACAGACACCUCAUUAGACACUCUUUAAUAAAAACACCCAAAGAAAGGCAGGAGUCCUCAGAAAAGAGACCAGAUGCUGCCAUUCCUCACAGAUUCCCUAUCCCAGGGUGGAGCACGGCUUCUGACCUACUCCCUCUCGAUUAUGUCAUGUUUACAAACCUCUUCAACAAAUUGAAUUUAGAUUUACAGCUGUGGUGAACUGCAAUGUCAGCUGGAGAGCACUUUUUCAGACUAAAAACCAGACAUUUACAAACAGAUUAAUUUGUGUUUAUUUACUCAAAACUCCUCAAAUCUUGCUAUUUCUGCAGUAUAAAAGAAAUAAAAAUGUUGAUUUACAAAUCAAGUUAUAACAAACAGAACCACAAGUGGAUGGCUACAAUAUAAAAAUACGCAGUAUAUUCAGACACUGCCUACAACUGAACAUUAGAGGCUUAAAUAUUCUUCCCCUACAACUCCAAGUAUUGGAUAGAUACUUCCAUACUGUUCACAUCACUCAGCCAGGAACCAUCCUAGAAGUCAGUCGAGGCCUGUGGAAGCGUGGGAGUGUUCUGAUAUCCAGAUCACAGCCCACAAGGUCUGAAACAAACACUAGAAGAGACCUCCUCGCCUGCACAGCCUGGGCAGGCACCACAAAGGGACAAUAACUUCCCUGUAUGUGCUGGAGCAACUGCACCCAGCAGCAAGAAUACGACAACACUAUGCUUCUCAGCCGAGUGCUGGCAUCUAAGAGGAAGAAAACCAUGUUCUACUGUGUUUUGGCUCCAGAUCAAUUUAGAUUAAAUACAUUUUUAAUGUAGUUAAAAAUGUAAACAAUAUUAUUCAGGGCAUUCUUGACUAAUUUUAUGUGGUUACUUCAAAACUCACAAGAUCAAGAGGGUCUCAGACAAUUCCAUGAUAAUAUAUUCCUCCUGCCGGCUCCAAACAGUGCCAUUACACAUUCAUUUAGGGGGAAAAAAAAAAUCAGAGCUUACUUCUUACACACUGUUCCCCAUUCCCUCAUCAUUACAGAAAGCCAUAAAAAUAAAAGUUGACCGUUCUUUCACCCUAGCAAAUACACAUUCAAACUCCUCCCUCAAAACAGGGAGCUCCUCACACACUGA